GGAACAGAGUGUUGUCCUAUGUUCCGGCAGAUUGCAGUGCAGAUCUUGCAAGGUAGCAAAUAGAAUUUAAAAUAGCAGAGCCACGUAGAAGAUAAAAAGAAGGAAAAAUAGGUGAUAGAAGAGAAAAUGAUUAGCAGUGUUCGUUCCCUUAGGAAGGUUCUCAGAUUCCAUAAACUUUUACUUGGUCAUAUAUCUCGAUUGCAGUCUGCAGGAGUGUAGGAUAACGCUUUGUUCC
rnacentral:pre_miRNA from 1 species